GGAAUAUUUAGCUCUGGUAGUACUUUUGAUUGGUCAGCAUGUGGUUCUUCAGGUAAAGUGCAAUGCAAAAACUUCUUGCUUGAACCAACCUGGUUGCAGAACAGCUUCAGCAUUUUCCUCCCCCUCAUCCAUUUAAGCAUUAUCUUCAUAUGGGUUUUGCUGUUCAAUCCACCAAUAGUAGACUCCUUGGCGUAAUUCCAAGUGCUGGAAACGUUGAGAGGUCCAUGCUGC
rnacentral:misc_RNA from 1 species